CGGCAUGCCUAACACAUGCAAGUCGAACGAGACCUUCGGGUCUAGUGGCGCACGGGUGCGUAACACGUGGAAUUUGCCUCGGGGUAUGGAAUAACUCAGGGAAACUUGAGCUAAUACCAUAUAAUGUCUUCGGACCAAAGAUUUAUCGCCCUGAGAUAAGCCCGCGUAGGAUUAGCUAGUUGGUGGGGUAAAGGCUCACCAAGGCGACGAUCCUUAGCUGGUCUGAGAGGACGACCAGCCACACUGGAACUGAGACGCGGGCCCAGACUCCUACGGGAGGCAGCAGUGGGGAAUUUUGGACAAUGGGGCGAAAGCCUGAUCCAGCAAUGCCGCGUGAGUGAUGAAGGCCUUAGGGUUGUAAAGCUCUUUUACCCGAGAUGAUAAUGACAGUAUCGGGAGAAUAAGCUCCGGCUAACUACGUG
rnacentral:rRNA from 1 species